rnacentral:rRNA from 1 species
UACGUAGGGUGCAAGCGUUGUCCGGAAUUAUUGGGCGUAAAGAGCUCGUAGGCGGUUUGUCGCGUCGGCUGUGAAAACCCAGGGCUCAACCCUGGGCCUGCAUUCGAUACGGGCAGACUAGAGUAUGGCAGGGGAGACUGGAAUUCCUGGUGUAGCGGUGAAAUGCGCAGAUAUCAGGAGGAACACCGGUGGCGAAGGCGGGUCUCUGGGCCAAAACUGACGCUGAGGAGCGAAAGCGUGGGGAGCGAACAGG